GCUUUCAUGGUGCAACGGUAGCACAAUCGGCCCGUAUUCUGGAGAUCCAGGUUCAAAUCCUGGCGAGGGCA
rnacentral:tRNA from 1 species